rnacentral:rRNA from 1 species
UACAGAGGGGGCAAGCGUUGUUCGGAAUUACUGGGCGUAAAGGGCGCGUAGGCGGCCUGCUAAGUCGAACGUGAAAUCCCUGGGCUCAACCCAGGAACUGCGUCCGAUACUGGUUGGCUUGAAUCCGGGAGAGGGAUGUGGAAUUCCAGGUGUAGCGGUGAAAUGCGUAGAUAUCUGGAGGAACACCGGUGGCGAAGGCGACAUCCUGGACCGGUAUUGACGCUGAGACGCGAAAGCGUGGGUAGCAAACGGG